rnacentral:rRNA from 1 species
UGCCAGCAGCCGCGGUAAUACCGGCAGCUCGAGUGAUAGCCACUAUUAUUGGGCCUAAAGCGUCCGUAGCCGGCCGAACAGGUCCAUCGGGAAAUCCGCCAGCCCAACUGGCGGGCGUCCGGUGGAAACUGCGUGGCUCGGGACCGGAAGACCCAACGGGUACGUCUUGGGUAGGAGUGAAAUCCCGUAAUCCUGGACGGACCACCGAUAGCGAAAGCACGUUGGGAAGACGGAUCCGACGGUGAGGGACGAAAGCCAGGGUCUCGAACCGGAUUAGAUA